rnacentral:tRNA from 1 species
CGAUUAGCUCAGUUGGUUAGAGCACCUGCCUUACAAGCAGGGGGUCGGCGGUUCGAGUCCGUUCUCGUCC